rnacentral:rRNA from 1 species
AAGUCGUAACAAGGUUUCCGUAGGUGAACCUGCGGAAGGAUCAUUACCUAGAGUUUGCGGGCUUUGCCUGCUAUCUCUUACCCAUGUCUUUUGAGUACUUACGUUUCCUCGGUGGGUUCGCCCGCCGAUUGGACAAUUUAAACCCUUUGCAGUUGCAAUCAGCGUCUGAAAAAAAUUAAUAAUUACAACUUUCAACAACGGAUCUCCUGGUUCUGGCAUCGAUGAAGAACGCAGCGAAAUGCGAUAAGUAGUGUGAAUUGCAGAAUUCAGUGAAUCAUCGAAUCUUUGAACGCACAUUGCGCCCCUUGGUAUUCCAUGGGGCAUGCCUGUUCGAGCGUCAUUUGUACCUUCAAGCUUUGCUUGGUGUUGGGUGUUUGUCUCGCCUUUGCGUGUAGACUCGCCUCAAAACAAUUGGCAGUCGGCGUAUUGAUUUCGGAGCGCAGUACAUCUCGCGCUUUGCACUCAUAACGACGACGUCCAAAAGUACAUUUUUACACUCUUGACCUCGGAUCAGGUAGGGAUACCCGCUGAACUUAA